rnacentral:rRNA from 1 species
AGACCCGAAACCCGGUGAUCUAGCCAUGGGCAGGUUGAAGGUUGGGUAACACUAACUGGAGGACCGAACCGACUAAUGUUGAAAAAUUAGCGGAUGACCUGUGGCUGGGGGUGAAAGGCCAAUCAAACCGGGAGAUAGCUGGUUCUCCCCGAAAGCUAUUUAGGUAGCGCCUCGUGAAUUCAUCUCCGGGGGUAGAGCACUGUUUCGGCUAGGGGGCCAUCCCGGCUUACCAACCCGAUGCAAACUGCGAAUACCGGAGAAUGUUAUCACGGGAGACACACGGCGGGUGCUAACGUCCGUCGUGAAGAGGGAAACAACCCAGACCGCCAGCUAAGGUCCCAAAGUCAUGGUUAAGUGGGAAACGAUGUGGGAAGGCCCAGACAGCCAGGAUGUUGGCUUAGAAGCAGCCAUCAUUUAAAGAAAGCGUAAUAGCUCACUGGUCGAGUCGGCCUGCGCGGAAGAUGUAACGGGGCUAAACCAUGCACCGAAGCUGCGGCAGCGAACGUAUCACCCAAGACAACUUUACGGAGUUGACGAUUGACGGAGCGAAGCGACGUCAAAGCGUUCAUUAAAGUCGAGUUGGCUUAGGGAUAC